rnacentral:rRNA from 1 species
GUCCAUGCCGUAACGAUGUCUACUAGCCGUUGGGCCUUUGAGGCUUUAGUGGCGCAGCUAACGCGAUAAGUAGACCGCCUGGGAGUACGGUCGCAAGAUUAAACUCAAAGGAAUAGACGGGACCCGCACAAGCGGUGGAGCAUGUGGUUAAUUCGACGAUACACGAAGAACCUUACCUGGACUUGACAUAGUAAGAACUUUCUAGAGAUAGAUUGGUGUCUGCUUGCAGAAACUUAUAUACAGGUGCUGCACGGCUGUCGU